rnacentral:misc_RNA from 1 species
UUAUAAGUGAAAUAAAUAUUUAGAAGGGUAAAUUAUAAUUUAAUUUUCCUUUCAUUAUGCCCUUAUCAAUAAUGGUUCCUUCAAAAGUCGUCCAUUCAUAAUUGUGGUUUUGUGAUCAAAGUAGACCAUCAGGUUUUCUGGACAAAGGCCGAUGGAAAAUGAAAAUGGAUCGGACUGUGUUUUGUUGGGUUGGAGGCCUGUCUUCAAUUCCAUGAGAGUCUAUGAGUCUCACAAACUAUGAGAAGAUCCACAUUACUUCUCAACCUAUUCAGCUUAUAGAAUCGUCUUUUCGAAGACAACCUGAUGGGACUGUUCAGACCACAUUUCAGCUAGCCAGACACUCUUCCUUUUCAUUGAAGUCAGGUUCGAACCUUCUCUACUGGAUCAUAGUACGGAGAUCCUUAUCAAGAUGAUAGAUCUUUAAUAGGAGGAUGGUAAAUGAAACCAAAGGAAUAGGAAUGGUUUCUUGCCGUAUUUGGGCUUGUUGGGUUAAAUGGAGGCCAAAGUAUGGGCUUUCAUCAGAACUUGAGUCUGAGUCCGAAGUUGAAAUCUUUGUGUCAAGGCUUUCUAAUGCAAAGACUGUUUUAUAAUUGGGCUCUUCUUGUUCGGAGAAAAGAGAUUCAACUUCAUGAUUGUCAUCAUCAAAUGGACAGAGUUGUUGAAUAUGCUGGAUGAGUUUAACAUCCCACCUUGGGUCUUUAUUACUGUCUCCAAAACCGCACAUCUAUGACACUACUCUCAAGAUUCCUAGAAUGGUUUCAGUGUAACACUCCUAUGUUCGGUAGUGCGUUCUAC